AUGCAAUUCGCAGUAUGCAGGCGCUGUCCUACUGUAUAUCACCGGAAGUGCUUGCCAAGGGAUAUUUCCUUGGUAGAGGACGAGGAAGAGGCUACUCCACAAAGGGCAUGGGAUGGCAUUCUACCUGAUCAAAUUUUAAUCUACUGCAGGAAGCAUGAGAUUCAAGAAGAGCUGGGAACUCCCAAGAGGGACCAUAUUGUCUUUCCAGAUGCGAGAAAUCCUGAUGCAGCAGAAAGGCAUAGAGGUGCACCUCACGGGCACGAUAUACCCGACGAAGACGAGCUACUCGACCGCCUAGCGUCCUGCAAUCCAUCUCAGUCCCCUCAGCCGGCAGAAACUGGCCGUGGUAGGGUGAAGCCCAUCGAUUCAUUUGCGCCGAAGCACUUGUUCCUGCGUCCACAGCCAGGCUCCUGCGGUUGGCUUGAUGACUGA
rnacentral:rRNA from 1 species